rnacentral:rRNA from 1 species
CCCUACGGGGGGCAGCAGUGGGGAAUAUUGCACAAUGGGGGAAACCCUGAUGCAGCGACGCCGCGUGAGUGAAGAAGUAUCUCGGUAUGUAAAGCUCUAUCAGCAGGAAAGAUAAUGACGGUACCUGACUAAGAAGCCCCGGCUAACUACGUGCCAGCAGCCGCGGUAAUACGGAGGAUGCGAGCGUUAUCCGGAUUUAUUGGGUUUAAAGGGUGCGCAGGCGGCCUGUUAAGUCAGCGGUAAAAGCCCGGGGCUCAACCCCGGCGAGCCGUUGAAACUGGCGGGCUGGAGUUGGAGAGAAGUAC